rnacentral:lncRNA from 1 species
GGGUCAAGCGCAAAAAUGAUGCGAGGUUUAACUUGAUUUGUGAUAUCUCAACCCUUCUAUAUAGCUGUUCCAGACCGUAUGAGUAUUUGGACCGUACGCGUACGGUCUGGACCGUAUGCGUACUUUUUCAAAAUACGCAUACGGUCGGACCGUACGCGUACGGUCUGAUUAAUAUUAAGAAGUUAGUCAAGUUUAUUAGAUACAAAUGUAUAUAACAGAUCAACAGAACUUAUGUCUCAAAUUAAUAUAAAAAGUUCAAUAGUAAUGGAAAUAAAAAUUUAUUAUUUUAACUAUUUAAAAUAAUCACGCUUAUUUAAUCUGUUAAUCUCCUGUAUUUAGCAUUAGGUCAGUAAUUCGUUAACUGCAUGCAGCCCAUUAUGCUCAUUGAAAUUGAGGUUAUCGGAAGUAAACAUAAUGCGGGGAGACAAUUGUUAUAGAAUAUUUAGGAACUUUACAAAAAAAGACAAAGGAACAUGCAUGAACAAAGCAUGUUAAUGUAAAAGAAAAUAUGACGUUCUUUGUGGUAUAUUUGUAGCAAGUGUCACCUUGGUCCAGAGUAACAAAAUAGGAUUCAGAUAUACAAUUAAACAAAUAUUUAAUGUCAAUUGUUCGCUUAUACACUUUAUUUAUCUAUUUGUAAUAAUAACAAUUUGUAUAACUAAAAAUAAAGAUUUUGAUAAAUGUUUGUUUAGAUUUAACCCAUAUGAUCCCAAAACAUGUCUGCUCAGCUGGACCGUACGCGUAAACUCAUACGGUCCGACCGUACGCGUAUGGUCGGACCGUACGAGUAUACGUAUACGGUCCGGACCGUACGCGUACGGUCCAAAUACUCAUAUGGUCUGGAACAUAUAUAUAUCCUAUGAGGUAUAAACAAACACACAGCAAUACUAAGUAGGCACUUUUGAUAUCUCAUUGUAUUUUCUAAUGCGGGUCUGGAUCCAGUUUACAGAAUAGAAAUAAUUUACAAUGGACACAAAGUACAGAACAAAAGGCACAAUAAAUAAAAUACAGAAAAAGGCAACAAAAUUUAAAGAAGCAUAACUAUAUGGGACAUGACACUAUAAGGAUUAGAGAAUAUCGGGG